rnacentral:tRNA from 1 species
GCCCGGGUGGCGAAAUGGUAGACGCAGGGGACUCAAAAUCCCCCGUUGAAAGACGUGUCGGUUCGAGUCCGACCCCGGGCACCA